rnacentral:pre_miRNA from 1 species
UUUUGGGGGGUUGAUCCAAAGCCUGAUGAAGUCAAUGGAAAUCUUUCCAUUGACUUCAAGGGGCUUUGGAUUGGGUCCUUGGAAA